rnacentral:rRNA from 1 species
CCUACGGGUGGCAGCAGUGAGGAAUAUUGGUCAAUGGGCGCGAGCCUGAACCAGCCAAGUAGCGUGAAGGAUGACUGCCCUACGGGUUGUAAACUUCUUUUAUAAAGGAAUAAAGUGAGGCACGUGUGCCUUUUUGUAUGUACUUUAUGAAUAAGGAUCGGCUAACUCCGUGCCAGCAGCCGCGGUAAUACGGAGGAUCCGAGCGUUAUCCGGAUUUAUUGGGUUUAAAGGGUGCGUAGGCGGGACCUUAAGUCAGCGGUAAAAUUGCGGUGCUCAACGCCGUAGAGCCGUUGAAACUGGGGUUCUUGAGUGAGCGAGAAGUAUGCGGAAUGCGUGGUGUAGCGGUGAAAUGCAUAGAUAUCACGCAGAACCCCGAUUGCGAAGGCAGCAUACCGGCGCUCAACUGACGCUGAGGCACGAAAGUGCGGGUAUCGAACAGGAUUAGAUACCCGUGUAGUC